rnacentral:lncRNA from 1 species
UGAGUGCAAAAAGUGGCGAGAUUAUUGGUGUGCGUUCGGUGUGUAUGGGGUGUGUGACAGCUCCUUUCAAAGUAGUGGUGUAUAGAAGUGCAUGAGCGCGACAAGUGAGAAGAUUCUCUACUACACUACACUGAAGCGGCUGACGACGAAUGGCGACAAGCAGUGCAUCAUAUGAAGAGCUUGGUGAGAUGCUCUGGUUUCACCACAGUGGCUCCACUUCAGGACAUAAUGGCCAGCAGGCAACAUACACCACAUUGCAAGAGUGUAUUAUUGGAAAAGUAUGGUUGAGGAUGUCAAGCAUUUGUACACUACGUUGAGAGCUGCAAUGCAUACCAAUAUUUGGGUUCCAUCAAAACACAAGCCACCUCCACCACCACCACCACCAACACCACCAUCACCACCAUGCCAUUCAUGGAGGCGAACAAGGUGUUGGAGCUUGUAGGACUUGACAUGAUUGCUUCUUCAAGAUCUUGUCAUCCUAGCCACUCCUGAGGAAAUUUCCAGCUGAGCUGUGUCUGGGAGCAAGAAAUGAAGCAUCAGGAAUUGCACAAGCAGCGUGAAGGGAGCAUUAGGGCUGUCCAGGAAAGGCACAAAUGAAACACUGCAAUACAAUGAACAAGGGAGUCUGUCUGACUUUUACAUCAAGAGUGGAAUGUCAGUGCUAACAACAAAUAUUAGGAAUGAAACCCAGAAGGGAGGGAAAACUGAACCAAAAUGGAGUGGUCCAUACAAGACAUGAUGUUUUAGUGAUGAAUUUUUUGGUGGAGCAUGUGAGGAAGGAUCGAGGAUGGCUAGGCAGGUCAGCACCCUCAUAGUUUCCACACCACUCACUCCACUCCCCCUUAUAUCCACCAAGAGAGGCUUUGCACCACAUCUCAAGCAGAUAAGUGUGUGUGUGUGUGUGUGUGUGUGUGUGUGUGUGUGUGUGUGUGUGUGUGUGUGUGUGUGUGUGUGUGUGUG